rnacentral:rRNA from 1 species
UACGUAGGGGGGCGAGCGUUGUCCGGAUUUAUUGGGCGUAAAGAGCGUGUAGGCGGCCAGGUAGGUCUGCUGUGAAAAACUCGAGGCUCAACCUCGAGACGUCGGCGGAAACCAUCUGGCUAGAGUCCGGAAGAGGAGAGUGGAAUUCCUGGUGUAGCGGUGAAAUGCGCAGAUAUCAGGAAGAACACCCGUGGCGAAGGCGGCUCUCUGGGACGGUACUGACGCUGAGACGCGAAAGCGUGGGGA